UACGUAGGGUGCAAGCGUUAUCCGGAAUUAUUGGGCGUAAAGAGCUCGUAGGCGGUUUGUCGCGUCUGCUGUGAAAACUGGAGGCUCAACCUCCAGCCUGCAGUGGGUACGGGCAGACUAGAGUGCGGUAGGGGAGAUUGGAAUUCCUGGUGUAGCGGUGGAAUGCGCAGAUAUCAGGAGGAACACCCGUGGCGAAGGCGGCUCUCUGGGACGGUACUGACGCUGAGACGCGAAAGCGUGGGGAGCGAACAGG
rnacentral:rRNA from 1 species